UACGUAGGGAGCGAGCGUUGUCCGGAUUUACUGGGUGUAAAGGGUGCGUAGGCGGGUUUGCAAGUCAGGCGUGAAAUACCGAUGCUUAACAUCGGGGCUGCGCUUGAAACUGUAGAUCUUGAGUGAAGUAGAGGCAAGCGGAAUUCCUAGUGUAGCGGUGAAAUGCGUAGAUAUUAGGAGGAACACCAGUGGCGAAGGCGGCUUGCUGGGCUUUAACUGACGCUGAGGCACGAAAGCGUGGGGAGCAAACAGGAUUAGAUACCCGGGUA
rnacentral:rRNA from 1 species